UACGUAGGGUCCGAGCGUUGUCCGGAGUUACUGGGCGUAAAGCGCGCGCAGGUGGCUCGAUAAGACUGGCGUGAAAGCCCCCGGCUCAACCGGGGAGGGUCGUUGGUGACUGUCGAGCUUGAGGGCAGCAGGGGCAGGUGGAAUUCCCGGUGUAGUGGUGAAAUGCGUAGAGAUCGGGAGGAACACCAGUGGCGAAGGCGGCUUCCUGGCCUGUUCUUGACGCUGAGGCGCGAAAGCUAGGGGAGCAAACGGG
rnacentral:rRNA from 1 species